rnacentral:rRNA from 1 species
ACAUGCAAGUCGAACGGUAGAGUAGCAAUACUCGAGAGUGGCGAGCGGGUGAGUAAUAUAUCGGAACGUGCCCAGUCGUGGGGGAUAACGUAGAGAAAUUUACGCUAAUACCGCAUACGAUCUAAGGAUGAAAGCGGGGGACUCGCAAGAGCCUCGCGCGAUUGGAGCGGCUGAUAUCAGAUUAGGUUGUUGGUGAGGUAAAAGCUCACCAAGCCGACGAUCUGUAGCUGGUUUGAGAGAACGACCAGCCACACUGGGACUGAGACACGGCCCAGACUCCUACGGGAGGCAGCAGUGGGGAAUUUUGGACAAUGGGCGAAAGCCUGAUCCAGCAAUGCCGCGUGCAGGAAGAAGGCCUUCGGGUUGUAAACUGCUUUUGUACGGAACGAAACGGUCUGCUUUAAUACAGCGGGCUAAUGACGGUACCGUAAGAAUAAGCACCGGCUAACUACGUGCCAGCAGCCGCGGUAAUACGUAGGGUGCGAGCGUUAAUCGGAAUUACUGGGGCGUAAAGCGUGCGCAGGCGGUUAUAUAAGACAGUUGUGAAAUCCCCGGGCUCAACCUGGGGAAUUGCAUCUGUGACUGUAUAGCUAGAGUACGGUAGAGGGGGAUGGAAUUCCGCGUGUAGCAG